UACGAAGGGGGCGAGCGUUGUUCGGAUUUACUGGGCGUAAAGGGGCGCGCAGGCGGUUCUGUUUGUUCGAGUGUGAAAGCCCCGGGCUCAAACCUGGGAACUGCGCUCGAAACGGCGGAACUAGAGUUCGGGAGAGGAGAGUGGAAUUCCCAGUGUAGAGGUGAAAUUCGAUAGAUAUUGGGAAGAACGAUCCGGAUGGC
rnacentral:rRNA from 1 species